rnacentral:rRNA from 1 species
GACGAACGCUGGCGGCGUGCUUAACACAUGCAAGUCGAACGGGCCUGUCUUCUUUUUUGGGGGGUGGGUUGAGUGGCGAACGGGUGAGUAUCACGUGAGUAACCUGCCCUUCGGUCCUGGAUAACCGCUUGAAAGGGCGGCUAAUACGGGGUGGUCCGGUUGGUCCGCAUGGGCUGGUCGGGAUAGCUUCACUGUUUUUGGUGUUUCGUCGGGGGAUGGGCUCGCGGCCUAUCAGCUUGUUGGUGGGGUGAUGGCCUACCAAGGCGGGGACGGGUAGCCGGCCGGAGGGUGUGGGCGGCCGCACUGGGAAUGAGGUACGGCCCAGACUGCUGCGGGAGGCAGCAGUGGGGGGUAUUGCACAAGGGGGGGUAGCCUGAUGCAGCGGCGUCGGGUGAGGGAGGGAGGCCUUCGGGUUGUGAACCUCUGUUUCCGGUGGUGAAGGCCCUGUCCGUGUGGUGGGGUUGACGGUAGCCGGGGAUGAAGCGCCGGCUAACUACGUG